rnacentral:rRNA from 1 species
CACGUAGGGCGCAAGCGUUGUCCGGAUUCAUUGGGCGUAAAGAGCUCGUAGGCGGCUUCGUAAGUCAGGUGUGAAACCUCCAGGCUCAACCUGGAGCCGCCACCUGAUACUGCGAUGGCUUGAGUCCAGUAGGGGCGCGCGGAAUUCCUGGUGUAGCGGUGAAAUGCGCAGAUAUCAGGAGGAACACCGGUGGCGAAGGCGGUUCUCUAGUACGGUACUGACGCUGAGACGCGAAAGCGUGGGGAGCGAACAGG